rnacentral:rRNA from 1 species
GACGAACGCUGGCGGCGUGCCUAAUACAUGCAAGUUGAGCGCUGAAGGUUGGUACUUGUACCAACUGGAUGAGCAGCGAACGGGUGAGUAACGCGUGGGGAAUCUGCCUUUGAGCGGGGGACAACAUUUGGAGACGAAUGCUAAUACCGCAUAAAAACUUUAAACACAAGUUUUAAGUUUGAAAGAUGCAAUUGCAUCACUCAAAGAUGAUCCCGCGUUGUAUUAGCUAGUUGGUGAGGUAAAGGCUCACCAAGGCGAUGAUACAUAGCCGACCUGAGAGGGUGAUCGGCCACAGUGGGACUGAGACACGGCCCAAACUCCUACGGGAGGCAGCAGGAGGGAAUCUUCGGCAAUGGACGAAAGUCUGAACGAGCAACGCCGCGUGAGUGAAGAAGGUUUUCGGAUCGUAAAACUCUGUUGGUAGAGAAGAACGUUGGUGAGAGUGGAAAGCUCAUCAAGUGACGGUAACUACCCAGAAAGGGACGGCUAACUACGUG